CCUUUAACACUUUGAUGCAACAUUAUUACGCAUCACUCUUUCUCUUUCUGGCCCACAAAACCUUAAACCUUCUUAAACAAAGCUUCUAUUUCUGUUUUUCUUAUCAUUUGCAGUAAAAAAAAAAAGUUUAUGUUCUGUGUUAAGACAGGAGAAUGAGCAUCAAGUUGAAUCUGUUGUUGUGUGUUUUGGUUUUGUUUUUGGAGUGUUGUUUGGGUAGGUUUUUGGUGGAGAAGAAUAGCUUGAGAAUCACUUCUCCAAAAUCAUUGAAAGGUUCAUAUGAAUGUGCAAUUGGGAAUUUUGGAGUGCCUCAGUAUGGUGGAACAUUGAUUGGUUCUGUGUUGUAUCCGAAUGUGAAUCAGAAAGGGUGCAGAAACUUCACUGAUUAUGAUGCUUCGUUUCAGUCCAAGCCUGGAGUUUUUCCUACCUUUCUUCUUGUUGAUCGUGGAGAUUGCUACUUCACUUUGAAGGCGUGGAAUGCGCAAAAUGGUGGAGCAGCGGCUAUUGUUGUAGCGGAUGACAAAGAAGAAACGCUUAUCACCAUGGACACUCCUGAAGAAGGGCAUGUUGCGAACGAUGAUUAUGUGGAAAAGAUUAAUAUUCCUUCUACUCUUAUCAGCAAAUCCUUGGGGGACAGAAUCAAGAAGGCUCUUUCAAAGGGUGAGGUUGUUAAUAUAAAUCUUGAUUGGAGAGAGGCUCUUCCGCAUCCGGAUGACAGAGUUGAGUAUGAGUUAUGGACGAAUAGCAAUGACGAAUGCGGUACAAAGUGUGACAAUCAAAUUGAUUUUGUGAAGAGCUUUAAAGGCGCGGCUCAGUUUCUUGAGAAGAAGGGGUUCACUCAAUUUACUCCUCACUUUAUAACUUGGUAUUGCCCUAAUGAUUUUCUCUUGAGCAAUCAAUGCAAGUCUCAGUGUAUAAACAACGGGCGAUACUGUGCUCCGGACCCUGAGAAUGAUUUCAAUAAAGGGUAUGAUGGAAAAGAUGUCGUUCUUCAGAAUUUACGCCAGGCUUGCUUCUUUAAAGUGGCAAAUGAAAGUGGAAGGCCUUGGAAAUGGUGGGACUAUGUGAGCGACUUUUCAAUCCGUUGCCCCAUGAGAGAGAAAAAAUACACAGAAGAAUGUUCAGAUCAAGUUAUUAAAUCUCUUGGUUUUGAUAUUGAGAAGAUAAACGACUGUGUUGGGGAUCCUGAUGCUGAUGUUGAAAAUCGUGUUCUCAAAGCCGAACAGGAUUUACAGAUUGGCAAAGAGUCUCGGGGCGAUAUUACUAUACUUCCUACUCUUGUUAUAAACAACAGACAAUAUAGAGGUAAGUUGUCAAGACCAGCAGUUCUUAAGGCAAUAUGUUCAGGUUUCGAAGAGACCACUGAGCCAUCAAUUUGCUUAACUUCAGACAUGGAAACAAACGAGUGUUUGGAAAACAAUGGUGGCUGUUGGCAAGAUAAAUCUUCUAACAUUACCGCGUGCAGGGACACUUUUCGAGGAAGAGUAUGUGAAUGCCCUAUUGUAAAAAAUGUGAAGUUUGUUGGGGAUGGAUAUACUCACUGUGAAGCUUCAGGAGCCUUAAGCUGUGAAUUCCGUAAUGGAGGUUGUUGGAAACAAUCCCACGGUGGAAGGCUUUACUCUGCUUGCCAUGAUGACUAUAAAAAAGGCUGCGAGUGUCCGUCAGGGUUCAAAGGCGACGGAGUUUUAUCAUGUGAAGAUAUUGAUGAGUGCAAAGAAAAGUUAGCAUGUCAGUGUCCACAAUGCAAAUGCAAAAACACCUUUGGGAGUUACGAGUGCAAAUGCAAUAGCGGUCUGCUCUACUCACGAGAGAAUGACACAUGUAUUGGUAGAUAUACUUCUUCAGUGCCGAGUAUUUGGAUGAUUAUACUUGUCGCGGUUGUUACUCUUUCUGGAGGAUAUGCUUUUUACAAGUACAGAAUCCAGAGAUACAUGGACACUGAGAUACGUGCGAUUAUGGCGCAAUACAUGCCUUUGGAUAAUCAACCUCUUAUUAUUCCUAAUCAAGAAGCUCGUCAUGAUAUCUAGGAGAUGUUGAUCUUUUUCUGAGAGGAAUAUUAGUCUUUAAGUUAGGACAAUCUCUACAGCUAGACAAAGAUAGAGGACACCACGUCCGACGCGCAUACUCCUGGAGAUGAUCACGCUUACAAGAAUAAGUGAAGAGUGAAGGAGAAUUAAUGACAUGCUUUGGCAACACAAUCAUAUGGCUUUCUUGACCAUUUUCACUGGGGCAAUGUAUGGGCAAUAUAUUCUGCUCGAGUAGUCGUUAACAGGAUUGUUGAUUGUAGAUUUGUCUUCCAGUUGAUAGAUGUUCCAAACAUUACAAACACAAAAUCUGGUAGGGAUUUUUCAAGUGAUCACCUUACCUGCAUAGUCUGAAUCUACAAAAUCCUCCAAAUCCUUUUUCUUUUGAGUUGAUUUUGUGUACUUUAAACCACCCUUUAAAUAACCAAUCAAAUACCUCAGCGCUCACGUCAAAGCUUCUCAAUGUACCUAACUAGGAUUUGCCAAAAAAGUUACUUACCAUACUUACUGCAUAUGCUAAUUUUGGUAUACUACAAACUAUAGUAUACAUAAUUCUUCUAAUUCC